rnacentral:snRNA from 14 species
AUGCUCGCUUUGGCAUCAAAUACACUAACAUUGGAAUGAUACAGAGAAGACUAGCAUGGCCCCUGUGCAAGAAUGACACGCAAAUUUGUGAAGUGUUCCAUAUUGGG